AAACUGGUAAUGUAGAAAUCACUUUAGUAGAAGGAUGCCCAAGUCUACGAUGCCAUAAAACAGUAGGUGAUAAACUAUUCCUGCGAGUUUGAUUUGAUCGUGCAACUGUGACUCCUUUGUAGUAGUAAACCCCCUCUCUCUCUUCACCGGCUCCAAUCAGGAUCCUCGUAAAACAGUCUUGCAAUAAACACAAAGUGUUAGUAGAUAUUGCAAUGCACCCAGUUUGUUUAAGGAGACGAGAAACCGAGAUCAGUGUGCAAUUAAAAUUCGGAACAAACAACACGUUGCUAAGAAAAUAAUCCUUGCUCAACGAUAGAGUGCCGAUCAUUGUAGCUCGAGAGGCUGUU
rnacentral:lncRNA from 1 species